GCCAGGCUCACAGAGAGCAGGCUGGCAUGGCAGCCUGCUUGGGGAGGCUUGGGGAGCAGUGAGACGAGGCCAGCUGCAGAUGCAUUUCCUCCCCAUGCCAGGAAAGGUUUUAAUUCAAAAACAAAUGUAUUUAUCACUUCCAACCACUCCGCAGGGCAGGGCAUCCUGCCUCGGGUGGAGCGUCAGUGUGCAGUGGGAACAGUGGCAGGCGGCCAACGGAAACUUCACGUUUCACGAAGGUUUCUGCCACUUCGCAGUUGUUAUAAAGGCCAGCAUCACAUCAGUGGAGACAGUCCAGCCUCCCAGCCAGCCCUAAAGACACAGGCACCAGGAAAGGACCAGGCUCUCCAAGCCCCGGCCAGGCAACUUUGGCCCCAGUGGGCUGGAUGGUGGGAUGCAAUGAACCAUCCAACUUGGUGACUAAGGCUCUUUCUAACCAUGGAGUGUGGACAAAGGGAAAGUCUGUCAUCAGCAGACAAAGGGCUGGAAACCAAAUGAAAAUGCAGCAUCUCCAGGCAAUUUCCUUAAAAUGGAUCAACUUGAAACAUUCUCUAUCACAGGACCAGUAGACAGGAGAGGAGCCAAAGAAGGAAGGACUGUGCGUGUCGGAGCAGACAAAGAAUUAAUAAAAGGGUCACUGAACCUGCUCUGAAUCUCAGAUGCAUCCUUCGUGAAGUGAAAAAAGAUUCCCCUGAGCUGCUAAGAGCAAGGAAACACAAUCCGGGCUGAGCUGGAAACUCUAGAUCUGCUACAACCUGGUUAAUUGCUACUGGGCAGAGAGGCAAAGAAUAGAUAAAAAUUUGCAGCUGUAAAAAAAAAAAAAGAAAUCUGAAAGGGAUAGAGCAGCUUAGUAAAAAGAAAGCUGGAAUCUGAAGCCACCUCCAUUCAUUCAUGGAACACCUAUGAGGCGCCUAUUCCCAUAGUGUCACAAGCACUGACUGUCGUAGGUCCAGGGAGACACAGGUCCCUCAAAGAGCUUACUCCUAGAGUAGCAGGUUUAUAUUUGUAAUUAUAAACAAAUAACUACAGUAAAAUGUGGCAAGUGGCAAGAAAGAGAAAGGCACAAA
rnacentral:lncRNA from 10 species